GGGUGAGUAAUACAUCGGAACGUGCCCGAUCGUGGGGGAUAACGGAGCGAAAGCUUUGCUAAUACCGCAUACGAUCUACGGAUGAAAGCAGGGGACCCUCGGGCCUUGCGCGAACGGAGCGGCCGAUGGCAGAUUAGGUAGUUGGUGGGAUAAAAGCUUACCAAGCCGACGAUCUGUAGCUGGUCUGAGAGGACGACCAGCCACACUGGGACUGAGACACGGCCCAGACUCCUACGGGAGGCAGCAGUGGGGAAUUUUGAACAAUGGGCGAAAGCCUGAUCCAGCAAUGCCGCGUGCAGGAUGAAGGCCUUCGGGCUGUAAACUGCUUUUGUACGGAACGAAAAGUCCCGGGAUAAUACCCUGGGGCCAUGACGGUACCGUAAGAAUAAGCACCGGCUAACUACGUGCCAGCAGCCGCGGUAAUACGUAGGGUGCAAGCGUUAAUCGGAAUUACUGGGCGUAAAGCGUGCGCAGGCGGUUAUGUAAGACAGAUGUGAAAUCCCCGGGCUCAACCUGGGAACUGCAUUUGUGACUGCAUAGCUGGAGUACGGCAGAGGGGGAUGGAAUUCCGCGUGUAGCAGUGAAAUGCGUAGAUAUGCGGAGGAACACCGAUGGCGAAGGCAAUCCCCUGGGCCUGUACUGACGCUCAUGCACGAAAGCGUGGGGAGCAAACAGGAUUAGAUGCCCUGGUAGUCCACGCCCUAAACGAUGUCAACUGGUUGUUGGGUCUUCACUGACUCAGUAACGAAGCUAACGCGUGAAGUUGACCGCCUGGGGGAGUAC
rnacentral:rRNA from 1 species